AGACCCAUCCAAAUGAAAGACUAGGCUUGUCAACGCAAAGUAUCUGGUCUCUGAAGUUGUGCGCUUUUAAGGAGGUGCAGGUCACAGAAAACAUAAAGUGCUUGUUAGCUUCCAGAAAGGAUGAAGAGAAAUAAAUGCAACUGUGUAUGGAUUUUGUAUUUGACUGGAAGUCUGACAUCAAGUCUGAGAAGAUCUACUGAACAUUUUGACAUUUCAGUCAAGGAUAACAGAAAAUUUCUCCAAACCAGGGUGGAAAGCAAAGCCAAGCAGCAGCUAAGUGGAAAGGAGUCUGCCCUGGGGGAGCAGAGCAUUACCCUCAGGCAGCAAUGGUUGCCUGAUGGAGAGACA